rnacentral:tRNA from 1 species
CUUAAAGCCCCUCGCUUACACCGAGUAAAUGUCUGUGAAACCCAAACCAUUUUGA